rnacentral:lncRNA from 1 species
AAGAAGCAAAGGACUACAUUGAUGAAGAAGAUCCAAGGCCUACAAGCUCCACAUGGAGCUACAUCAACCUCCUCAACCAAUAACACCAUUUGUUGAUCCAACACCACCACUACCAUCUUCACCACCACCUAUGCAACUGAUGGAUUUCCCCUACGAUUAUUUUUUGUUCCACUUUUUCUUCAUACAAAUAUAUUCAAGGGAAACCCGAUUUGCCGGAAAGUGCACCGGAUCGUCAAGUAUUUAAAAAUUAAAAUGGAUAAAUCCAAGUAUCGAACUCAGGGAAACUAGUCUAAGAC